CCUACGGGCGACAGCAGUGAGGAAUAUUGGUCAAUGGACGAGAGUCUGAACCAGCCAAGUAGCGUGAAGGAUGACUGCCCUAUGGGUUGUAAACUUCUUUUAUAAAGGAAUAAAACGAGGCACGUGUGCCUUUUUGCAUGUACUUUAUGAAUAAGGAUCGGCUAACUCCGUGCCAGCAGCCGCGGUAAUACGGAGGAUCCGAGCGUUAUCCGGAUUUAUUGGGUUUAAAGGGAGCGUAGAUGGGUUGUUAAGUCAGUUGUGAAAGUUUGCGGCUCAACCGUAAAAUUGCAAUUGAUACUGGCAGUCGUGAGUACAGUUGAGGUAGGCGGAAUUCGUGGUGUAGCGGUGAAAUGCUUAGAUAUCACGAAGAACCCCGAUUGCGAAGGCAGCUUACUAAACUGUGACUGACAUUGAUGCUCGAAAGUGUGGGUAUCAAACAGGAUUAGAUACCCUUGUAGUC
rnacentral:rRNA from 1 species